CAGGAGCAAAUCAUCCACGUACUGCAGAAGGACGAGGUCCGGAUGGCCAACUCGGAAAUCUGCCAAAUCCCGAUGCAAGGCCUCAUCGAACAAAGUGGGGGAGUUUUUGAAUCCCUGCGGCAGCCUUGUCCAAGUUUUCUGCAGAAGCUCCCUAUUUGAUGAACCUCCAGGAAGCCAGAUUUUAUUCAUUCAUUCAUGAGAGACAAGGAGAGAGAGAGAGGCAGAGACACCGGCAGAGGGAGAAGCAGGCUCCACGCAGGGAGCCCCACGUGGGACUCAAUCCUGGGUCUCCAGGAUCACACCCUGGGCUGAAGGCAGCGCUCAACCGCUGAGC